rnacentral:lncRNA from 1 species
AUUGGUCUACCAGAGAGGGCACAUGUGCCUCAAUUGGCCUAUAGCAUAGUGGCUCAUUAUCCUUCAACCGCUGGUGGCGGGCGGUACUCGCUGCUCUGUGAAGCCAGCCUCACGCAAUGUCCGCCACUUUAGGUGUUGGGAUGCAAAGGCUUUCGCCAAGGCAUCCGAAACCCACUACACAACUUGGAAUGGGUGGUCCACAGUUUGUAGCACUAGACCCAGGCACAUGCACCACAAUUGACAUUCACACUACCUUAUUGCCCCCGCUCGGGUUACAAGCAAUCGCUACUUGCUCAGCGAGUGAGGGGGGUUCAAGACUACCUAUUUAAGGUGGUGUUGUACUGUAUGAGCCGGCGGUGUGGUAUUUACCAACUACAAAUAGUGUCAUGCAUGUGACUUGCUAGUUGACAAUGUCUGUUGUGGAGCUAGAUGUGGGCUAUGGAUGAAGCACAUUAGGAUAUAGUAGGCCUAUUUUGUUUUUUGUUAUUUUUGGGCCACUAUGGACUUUAUGUUGAUGUUGUGAAUUUUUUUCUUGUGUUUCCUCUUCCUACGAUGUGGAAAGUGGGUGCGUCAGAGAAGAAAGAAAGAGUGGCUAGCAUUGAUUUUACGUCAUACCAUUGAGAACACUAAUCAGAAGCAGAAGCAACAAUAUUUCAUACAUAUACAACACUUGUAAUCCAUAUAAACAACUUUCCUUUCAAAUAUAAUAUAAACCACAUGAUUUAUAUCCUGGGUCGGCUAUCUCCACAAAGGGCAAGAAAACGCUCCAAGUUUGUAGUAUAGAACUAAAAGUGUCGACUCUCACGAUUUCUUCCCGACAUAUGCAAACUAGACAGUAAUCACAUAAAAUAAAGAAAUAUGUGUUAACACAAACUUAUAACAUGUAUUUCAACAUAUAGAUUUUUGAUUAUUAUGGUAGAUUAUAUAAUAUAGGGGUUCCCGAAGAAAUACAUAAAAAACAAGAGCAUUAAAAUUUCCUUUUCAGAUCUGGCUAACUGGUAAAGGGAGUUGGAGUAUCUGUGUUUCCAAAUUUGGGACGUCGCUCUAUAGAAGGAAUAUAAAUACAUUGGAAAAAAAUUCUACAAGGAAAGGUUUAAUACAAGUAGGGCUAAGAAAAACUCAAUGAGGCUUUGGUCGCAUGGUCACAAAACUUGAGACAAGAAACACGAAGACACCAAGGUAAUUAGUAUGAGAGUUUUCCAAAUUUGGUGUCUUGAUGUAGAAAAAAUAAAUAUAUGACAAACUUGUUUUUUCGCAAGGCAUGGAUAAAUAAGUGGGGGUGAGCAAUAAAUUUCAUCCUAGAUUUAGAAGGAAUAAAUAUAUCACUAAAUACGUUUUUUCAUAAUGCCAAGUUAAUCAGGUGGGAGCGAGAAACAAUUCUAGCGAGGCUAGGUUGUACUAGCCCAAAACUACAUACAACAGAGGAAAAAUGAAGAAAAUGAUGGUCUACCAAAUAUGGCGCAUGAGCCUUAAGGUGCACCUAGAGGGAAGUAGAAGAAAUAAAUAUAUAAUAGCAUAUGUUUUUCUCAAUGCAAGGUAAAGUGUAGAUGUGCUCUAACUGGGCUUAGAUUGCAGCGACACAUUAUGCAUCUACAAGGCUUGGUUGCACAUGGAAAAAGAUAGAGAGAGAAAUGUAGACACAGGACGGGGAGAAAAACAUUCAAUGAGACAUGAUUGCACGGACAUAGAACUAGAUAUAAGACAAGAGUUAAAGAAAAAUAAAGGAACUAAAUUUUCUUCUGCACACUCAGCAUGAAUGGAGUUGUAGUAUCUGAGAUCAAAAUUUAAUUUAUUCCAAGAUGCAGAACAAAAACGUGAUACUCGUAAUGGUUACAUAGGAACAAAAGUAGAUAAGAAAAAUAGCAAAAAGAUAGUGGUCUACCAGAGAGGGCACAUGUGCCUCAAUUGGCCUAUAGCAUAGCGACUCAUUAUCCUUCCACCGCUGGUGGCGGGCGGUACUCGCUGCUCUGUGAAGCCAGCCUCACGCAAUGUCCGCCACUUUAGGUGUUGGGAUGCAAAGGCUUUCGCCAAGGCAUCCGAAACCCACUACACAACUUGGAAUGGGUGGUCCACAGUUUGUAGCACUAGACCCAGGCACAUGCACCACAAUUGACAUCCACACUACCUUAUUGCCCCCGCUCGGGUUACAAGCAAUCGCUACUUGCUCAGCGAGUGAGGGGGUUCAAGACUACCUAUUUAAGGUGGUGUUGUACUCUAUAAGCCGGCGGUGUGGUAUUUACCAACUACAAAUAGUGUCAUGCAUGUGACUUGCUAGUUGACAAUGUCUGUUGUCGAGCUAGAUGUGGGCUACGGAUGAAGCACAUUAUGAUAUAGUAGGCCUAUUUUGUUUUUUGUUGUUUUUGGGCCACUAUGGACUUUAUGUUGAUGUUGUGAAAUUUUUUCUUGUGUUUCCUCUUCCUACGAUGUGGAAAGUGGGUGUGUUAGAGAAGAAAGAAAGAGUGGCUAGCAUUGAUUUUACGUCAUACCAUUGAGAACACUAAUCAGAAGCAGAAGCAACAAUAUUUCAUACAUAUACAACACUUGUAAUCCAUAUAAACAACUUUCCUUUAAAAUAUAAUAUAAACCACAUGAUUUAUAUCCUGGGUCGGCUAUCUCCACAAAGGGCAAGAAAACGCUCCAAGUUUGUAGUAUAGAACUAAAAGUGUCGAUUCUCACGAUUUCUUCCCGACAUAUACAAACUAGACAGUAAUCACAUAAAAUAAAGAAAUAUGUGUUAACACAAACUUAUAGCAUGUAUUUCAACAUAUAGAUUGUUGAUUAUUAUGGUAGAUUAUAUAAAAUAGAGGUUCCCGAAGAAAUACAUAAAAACAAGAGCAUUAAAAUUUCCAUUUCAGAUCUGGCUAUCUGGUAAAAGGAGUUGGAGUAACUGAGUUUCCAAAUUUGUGACGUAGCUCUAUAGAAGGAAUAUAAAUACGUUGGAAAAAUUCUACAAGGAAAGGUUUAAUACAAGUAGGGCUAAGAAAAACUCAAUGAGGCUUUGGUCGCAUGGUCACAAAACUUGAGACAAGAAACACGAAGACACCAAGGUAAUUAGUAUGAGAGUUUUCCAAAUUUGGUGUCUUGAUGUAGAAAAAAUAAAUAUAUGACAAACUUGUUUUUUCGCAAGGCAUGGAUAAAUAAGUGGGGGCGAGCAAUAAAUUUCAUCCUAGAUUUAGAAGGAAUAAAUAUAUCACUAAAUACGUUUUUUCAUAAUGCCAAGUUCAUCAGGUGGGAGCGAGAAACAAUUCUAGCGAGGUUAGGUUGUACUAGCCCAAAACUACAUACAACAGAGGAAAAAUGAAGAAAAUGAUGGUCUACCAAAUAUGGCGCAUGGGCCUUAAGGUGCACCUAGAGGGAAGUAUAAGAAAUAAAUAUAUAAUAGCCUAUGUUUUUCGCAAUGCAAGGUAAAGUGUAGAUGUGCUCUAACUGGGCUUAGAUUGCAGCGACACAUUAUGCAUCUACAAGGCUUGGUUGCACAUGGAAAAAGAUAGAGAGAGAAAUGUAGACACAGGACGGGGAGAAAAACAUUCAAUGAGACAUGAUUGCACGGACAUAGAACUAGAUAUAAGACAAGAGUUAAAGAAAAAUAAAGGAACUAAAUUUUCUUCUGCACACUCAGCAUGAAUGGAGUUGUAGUAUCUGAGAUCAAAAUUUAAUUUAUUCCAAGAUGCAGAACAAAAACGUGAUACUCGUAAUGGUUACAUAGGAACAAAAGUAGAUAAGAAAAAUAGCAAAAAGAUAGUGGUCUACCAGAGAGGGCACAUGUGCCUCAAUUGGCCUAUAGCAUAGCGACUCAUUAUCCUUCCACCGCUGGUGGCAGGCGGUACUCGCUGCUCUGUGAAGCCAGCCUCACGCAAUGUCCGCCACUUUAGGUGUUGGGAUGCAAAGGCUUUCGCCAAGGCAUCCGAAACCCACUACGCAACUUGGAAUGGGUGGUCCACAGUUUGUAGCACUAGACCCAGGCACAUGCACCACAAUUGACAUCCACACUACCUUAUUGCCCCCGCUCGGGUUACAAGCAAUCGCUACUUGCUCAGCGAGUGAGGGGGUUCAAGACUACCUAUUUAAGGUGGUGUUGUACUCUAUAAGCCGGCGGUGUGGUAUUUACCAACUACAAAUAGUGUCAUGCAUGUGACUUGCUAGUUGACAAUGUCUGUUGUCGAGCUAGAUGUGGGCUAUGGAUGAAACACAUUACGAUAUAGUAGGCCUAUUUUGUUUUUUGUUGUUUUUGGGCCACUAUGGACUUUAUGUUGAUGUUGUGAAAUUUUUUCUUGUGUUUCCUCUUCCUAUGAUGUGGAAAGUGGGUGGGUUAGAGAAGAAAGAAAGAGUGGCUAGCAUUGAUUUUACGUCAUACAAUUGAGAACACUAAUCAGAAGCAGAAGCAACAAUAUUUCAUACAUAUACAACACUUGUAAUCCAUAUAAACAACUUUCCUUUAAAAUAUAAUAUAAACCACAUGAUUUAUAUCCUGGGUCGGCUAUCUCCACAAAGGGCAAGAAAACGCUCCAAGUUUGUAGUAUAGAACUAAAAGUGUCGAUUCUCACGAUUUCUUCCCGACAUAUACAAACUAGACAGUAAUCACAUAAAAUAAAGAAAUAUGUGUUAACACGAACUUAUAGCAUGUAUUUCAACAUAUAGAUUGCUGAUUAUUAUGGUUGAUUAUAUAAAAUAGGGGUUCCCGAAGAAAUACAUAAAAACAAGAGCAUUAAAAUUUCCUUUUCAGAUCUGGCUAUCUGGUAAAAGGAGUUGGAGUAACUGAGUUUCCAAAUUUGUGACGUAGCUCUAUAGAAGGAAUAUAAAUACGUUGGAAAAAUUCUACAAGGAAAGGUUUAAUACAAGUAGGGCUAAGAAAAACUCAAUGAGGCUUUGGUCGCAUGGUCACAAAACUUGAGACAAGAAACACGAAGACACCAAGGUAAUUAGUAUGAGAGUUUUCCAAAUUUGGUGUCUUGAUGUAGAAAAAAUAAAUAUAUGACAAACUUGUUUUUUCGCAAGGCAUGGAUAAAUAAGUGGGGGUGAGCAAUAAAUUUCAUCCUAGAUUUAGAAGGAAUAAAUAUAUCACUAAAUACGUUUUUUACAAUGCCAAGUUAAUUAGGUGGGAGCGAGAAACAAUUCUAGCGAGGCUAGGUUGUACUAGCCCAAAACUACAUACAACAGAGGAAGAAUGAAGAAAAUGAUGGUCUACCAAAUAUGGCACAUGAGCCUUAAGGUGCACCUAGAGGGAAGUAGAAGAAUAAAUAUAUAAUAGCAUAUGUUUUUCGCAAUGCAAGGUAAAGUGUAGAUGUGCUCUAACUGGGCUUAGAUUGCAGCGACACAUUAUGCAUCUACAAGGCUUCGUUGCACAUGGAAAAAGAUAGAGAGAGAAAUGUAGACGCAGGACCGGGAGAAAAACAUUCAAUGAGACGUGAUUGCACGGACAUAGAACUAAGUAUAAGACAAGAGUUAAAGAAAAAAGGAACUAAAUUUUCUUGUGCACACUAAGCAUGAAUGGAGUUGUAGUAUCUGAGAUCAAAAUUUAAUUUAUUCCAAGAUGCAGAACAAAAACGUGAUACUCGUAAUGGUUACAUAGGAACAAAAGUAGAUAAGAAAAAUAGCAAAAAGAUAUUGGUCUACCAGAGAGGGCACAUGUGCCUCAAUUGGCCUAUAGCAUAGUGGCUCAUUAUCCUUCCACCGCUGGUGGCGGGCGGUACUCGCUGCUCUGUGAAGCCAGCCUCACGCAAUGUCCGCCACUUUAGGUGUUGGGAUGCAAAGGCUUUCGCCAAGGCAUCCGAAACCCACUACACAACUUGGAAUGGGUGGUCCACAGUUUGUAGCAAUAGACCCAGGCACAUGCACCACAAUUGACAUUCACACUACCUU